rnacentral:lncRNA from 1 species
AUGAGUAGGUGGCCACAGCCCAGCCUGGAGCCUGCUAGAGAACCAAGACAAAGCCCUGCGGAGACCAGGAGCCCCGGCUCGCCUGCCAGCAGCCGGGAGGAUGCCUCCGAGCGGAGACCGUGCCUCAGCGAGUGGCAGCUUCCCCCUUUCCUGGUUAUCCUGGUCUACUGCCUGUCCCAGGCCCUGUGGGUAAAGAUCUACACCCCUCUGCUGGGCCUGUCCGUGGCCGUGGCCGACCUGGCUUCCUACUCCCUCUCCAUCUCGGUGGUGUGGUUCUACAUUCUGUGGCGGAGCAGCCUCCAGACGGCAGGGGCUCUCACUCUCAUCUUGGCCCGGAAGUUCUGUGGGGAGGUGGUGAUGCCCACGUGCCAGGCCGCGCGGCAGCCCUGGCUGGAAGUGAAGGCCUGGUCCCUGGCCUUCUUGGGUGCCCUUCUCUGCUGGGCCUGGGGCUGGGCCUGGAGCCUGCAGAGAAGCCUCGGCCAGCGGGUGGGCACGGCUGCGCGCUCCUGGGCGACAAGGGCUUACGGCAGCCUGGCCAGCUUCUGCCAAGAGAAGGGUAAGGACUGCGAAGUCAUCCUAAGCAGCAUCCUACGACACCUGUUUUCCACCUUGCUCCUGAGCUGCCUACACGGCUUCUGGGAUGUUUUCUUUCGGUGGGUCAUGGCCCUCAGGGACAAAUGCGGCUGGCUCCUGCACGGUGCCAGGCCCUGGCGGGGGCGCUGCUCUGCCCAGUUCUCCCUGGAAGCCUGCGUCUCCAGCCUCUCGAGCAGCAGCGUCCCCCUGAGCCAGCGCUUCCCGGGGCCUGACCCCGCCGGCCUCCCCUGGCGCUCCCCGGACUCCAUGCGCCUCAGCUUCCUGGUGGUCCGGAGGAACCCGGAAGAGGGAGCCCAGGGCUGCCCGUGGGCAGGCAGCACCCAGCUGCCUCUGAACACCAGGUUUCAAAGGGGGUCGGCCCUCUCCCCAUCCGCGCAGACCCUGGUUCUGCAAGUGAAGACUGCCUGUGUCCUGGUCAUCCUGCUCUAUAUCUAUGGGGUAGCUCUCUUUAUUCAGAUCAUAAAAUAA